CCACGGGAGGGGUAACCCUCCCGUGGGGAGAGCGGCGAACGGGUGCGUAACACGUGGGUAACCUGCCCCAGGCACUGGGAUAACCCCGGGAAACCGGGGCUAAUACCGGAUACUCUCGCGGGACCGCAUGAUCUCGCGAGGAAAGCUCCGGCGGCCUGGGAUGGGCCCGCGGCCUAUCAGCUUGUUGGUGAGGUGACGGCUCACCAAGGCUUCGACGGGUAGCUGGUCUGAGAGGACGACCAGCCACACUGGAACUGAGAUACGGUCCAGACUCCUACGGGAGGCAGCAGUGGGGAAUCUUGCGCAAUGGGCGAAAGCCUGACGCAGCGACGCCGCGUGGGGGAUGAAGGCAUUCGUGUUGUAAACCCCUUUCGGCAGGGACGAAGCGAAAGUGACGGUACCUGCAGAAGAAGUCCCGGCUAACUACGUGCCAGCAGCCGCGGUAACACGUAGGGGACGAGCGUUGUCCGGAUUUAUUGGGCGUAAAGCGCGCGCAGGCGGCCGUGCAAGUCGGGUGUGAAAACCUGGGGCUCAACCCCGGGCCUGCACUCGAUACUGCUCGGCUCGAGGCAGGUAGGGGAGAGCGGAAUUCCCGGUGUAGCGGUGAAAUGCGCAGAUAUCGGGAGGAACACCGGUGGCGAAGGCGGCUCUCUGGGCCUGUCCUGACGCUCAGGCGCGAAAGCUAGGGGAGCGAACAGGAUUAGAUACCCUGGUAGUCCUAGCCGUAAACGUUGGGUGCUAGGUGUGGGGGGAUAUCGACCCCUUCCGUGCCGAAGCUAACGCAUUAAGCACCCCGCCUGGGGAGUACGGCCGCAAGGCUAAAACUCAAAGGAAUUGACGGGGGCCCGCACAAGCGGCGGAGCAUGUGGCUUAAUUCGACGCAACGCGAAGAACCUUACCUGGGCGUGACAU
rnacentral:rRNA from 1 species